rnacentral:rRNA from 1 species
GGUGGCUAUAGCUCCGGGGUACCACCUCUUCCCAUAUCGAACAGAGAAGUUAAGCCCGGAAGCGCCGAUGGUACUGGGCCAAAACCGGGAGAGUAGGUGCCGCC